rnacentral:rRNA from 1 species
AUUGAACGCUGGCGGCAGGCCUAACACAUGCAAGUCGAACGAGAGGCGGACGGGUGAGUUAUGUAUGGGACUCUGCCUGCUGGAGAGGGAUAUCUACUGGGAACGGUAACUACUACCACAUCCCAUACGCUGUGCCCGAGUGGGUUUAGCUUGUUGGUGGGGUAACGGAUCACCAAGGCGACGAUCCAUAGCUGGUCUGAGAGGAUGACCAGCCACACUGGAACUGAGACACGGUCCAGACUCCUACGGGAGGCAGCAGUGGGGAAUAUUGCACAAUGGGCGCAAGCCUGAUGCAGCCAUGCCGCGUGUGUGAAGAAGGCCUUCGGAUUGUAAAGUACUUUCAGCUGGGAGGCGUUACCCGCAGAAUAAGCACCGGCUAACUACGUGCCAGCAGCCGCGGUAAUUC